rfam:Myotis brandtii contig110800, whole genome shotgun sequence.
UUUGCACUGAGUAAACGAAGUAGCCACGGGUUCUGGCUGCGGACUCCAAGCGUAUGCGGGCUCAGGACCUACACGCGGGGCACAAUUCCCUCCUCUUGGGGUCGCUGGUCCUGGAGGCGCUGAGACCGUGAAG